rnacentral:rRNA from 1 species
GUUGAAGGAUUUGGAAAAUUCCGCUAAAGAGGGUGAAAGCCCCGUAGACGAAAUGCUGACAACACCUAGGAGGAUCCUGAGUACGGCGGAACACGAGAAAUUCCGUCGGAAUCCGCGGGGACCAUCCCGCAAGGCUAAAUACUCCCUAGUGACCGAUAGUGAACCAGUACCGUGAGGGAAAGGUGAAAAGCACCCCGGAAGGGGAGUGAAAUAGAUCCUGAAACCGUGUGCCUACAACAAGUCAAAGCUCGUUAAUGAGUGAUGGCGUGCCUUUUGUAGAAUGAACCGGCGAGUUACGAUUGCAUGCGAGGUUAAGUCGAAGAGACGGAGCCGCAGCGAAAGCGAGUCUGAAUAGGGCGAAUGAGUAUGUAGUCGUAGACCCGAAACCAUGUGAUCUACCCAUGUCCAGGUUGAAGGUGCGGUAAAACGCACUGGAGGACCGAACCCACGUACGUUGAAAAGUGCGGGGAUGAGGUGUGGGUAGCGGAGAAAUUCCAAACGAACUUGGAGAUAGCUGGUUCUCUCCGAAAUAGCUUUAGGGCUAGCCUCGGAAUUGAGAAUGAUGGAGGUAGAGCACUGUUUGGACUAGGGGCCCAUCUCGGGUUACCGAAUUCAGAUAAACUCCGAAUGCCAUUCAUUUAUAUCCGGGAGUCAGACUGCGAGUGAUAAGAUCCGUAGUCGAAAGGGAAACAGCCCAGACCACCAGCUAAGGUCCCAAAAUAUAUGUUAAGUGGAAAAGGAUGUGGGGUUGCACAGACAACUAGGAUGUUGGCUUAGAAGCAGCCACCAUUUAAAGAGUGCGUAAUAGCUCACUAGUCGAGUGACCCUGCGCCGAAAAUGUACCGGGGCUAAACAUAUUACCGAAGCUGUGGACUACACCAUUAGGUGUAGUGGUAGGAGAGCGUUCUAAGGGCGUUGAAGGUCGAUCGUGAGGACGGCUGGAGCGCUUAGAAGUGAGAAUGCCGGUAUGAGUAGCGAAAGACAGGUGAGAAUCCUGUCCACCGUAUGACUAAGGUUUCCUGGGGAAGGCUCGUCCGCCCAGGGUUAGUCGGGACCUAAGCCGAGGCCGAUAGGCGUAGGCGAUGGACAACAGGUUGAUAUUCCUGUACCAGUUGUUUUUGUUUGAGCAAUGGAGGGACGCAGUAGGCUAAGGAAUGCAUGCGAUUGGAAGUGCAUGUCCAAGCAAUGAGUCUUGAG